UGUGCAGAGCUGGGAUUGGCUCAUUAGGGAUAUAGGAUCAUGUGACUAUAAGGCUUUAUUCUGCCAGGCAAGUAGAUUCAUGCAUCAGUCAGUCAGCAGAAUUAUUCACAUCGACAUCAGGACACCAGGAGUAGAGGAAAGGACGAAGGGAGAGUUCAAAUCAAUUUAAAUCGCUUUAAGAAAGGAGAGAAAAGAACCAAUUAUGGGAAAAAGAGAAGUUGUGUGGGGGUAAAUAAGAAUGUUUGACAUGAAAAGAAAGCAGCCUGAACUCUUACCCGUAGCUGGAGUGCGUGACGCAGAAUCGUCCCCUCUAAUGCGUGGAUCCACUUCUCCCUCUCAUCAGCGUCUCGGGCUGCCAGGGCAGAACAUCCAAAACACAAUCCAUUAGAGACAGAACACACACAGAAGAAAGGAGAAGGACGCGUGAAGGUAGGACAAGGGACGUCAGUGAAUGAGGCCAACAGCAGCACGGCUUAAUAUAGCUGUAGAGGUGACAGAUGACCAAAGAUCAGCAGUGCUCUGUUUACUUUAAAGAAGAAACACGGUGAGAGAACCGAGGACUAAACCGGACUACAGACACACCCACACAACCACACGAAUCCACACCUACACACAACCUCAUCUCUCCAUGUUAAUGAUGAACACACCCACACAAACAAAACUAACCCUUUCUCAAGAACUAGCAGCUUCCUUAAAACUUGCUGGUUUUCUGAAGUAAUGCAAUAAAACAACUGAGCCCUUUCUUUGUUUGACCAGCAUAAAAAGGAAGAAAGAAAUAGUUGGAUUAUGACCUCACUUAUCAUUCAUUAUAUAGUUUGUGUCUAUUUAAGGAUUGGUUUUCAAUUUAAACUUUAUUUUUCCGCUAUGA